GACGAACGCUGGCGGCAUGCCUAAUACAUGCAAGUCGAGCGAACAGAUGAAGUGCUUGCACUUCUAACGUUAGCGGCGAACGGGUGAGUAACACGUAAGGAAUCUACCUAUAAGCGGGGGAUAACAUUCGGAAACGGGUGCUAAUACCGCAUAAUAUCUUCUUCCGCAUGGAAGAAGAUUGAAAGACGGCUCUGCUGUCACUUAUAGAUGACCUUGCGGUGCAUUAGUUAGUUGGUGGGGUAACGGCCUACCAAGACGAUGAUGCAUAGCCGACCUGAGAGGGUGAUCGGCCACAUUGGGACUGAGAAACGGCCCAAACUCCUACGGGAGGCAGCAGUAGGGAAUCUUCCGCAAUGGGCGAAAGCCUGACGGAGCAAUGCCGCGUGAGUGAAGAAGGCCUUCGGGUCGUAAAACUCUGUUAUAAGGGAAGAACAAAUUGUAGAGUAACUGCUACAGUCUUGACGGUAUCUUAUCAGAAAGCCACGGCUAACUACGUGCCAGCCGCCGCAGUAA
rnacentral:rRNA from 1 species